rnacentral:rRNA from 1 species
AGGUACUCCGGGGAUAACAGGCUGAUACCGCCCAAGAGUUCAUAUCGACGGCGGUGUUUGGCACCUCGAUGUCGGCUCAUCACAUCCUGGGGCUGAAGUCGGUCCCAAGGGUAUGGCUGUUCGCCAUUUAAAGUGGUACGCGAGCUGGGUUCAGAACGUCGUGAGACAGUUCGGUCCCUAUCUGCCGUGGGCGUUGGAUGAUUGAAGGGAGUUGCUCCUAGUACGAGAGGACCGGAGUGAACGAACCUCUGGUGUUCGGGUUGUCACGCCAGUGGCCGGGUGUGUAAGCGCAGCGAUGCGUUGAGCUAACCGGUACUAAUGAACCGUGAGGCUUAACCUUACAACGCCGAAGAUGUUUUGGCGGA